ensembl:lncRNA
UUUGUGAAAACGAAACUGUAUUUUUUUGUUUUGUCACGCAGCUCUAAAAGCAAGACCACCCCUCCGUUGAAGGAACCYCGUGUCGCUCCUGAGCGCAGGGCGACGUGGCAGAGCGUGGGCGGUGCUGGACUGUGCUAACCUUGUCACCAAACGCUGGGGACCAAGGAGAUGUGGCUUAUUCCAGGUUCAGCGGGUGACACAGUCUGAAGUCCGUUGAUGGAUGAGAGCUGGAGCUGAAGUAGACGGAGGUGCUUGAGAGAGGAUGACAGAGCGAAAAUAUCUCGUUAAAGGAAAAGUACUGAGAUGACAGAAGCGAUGCCUUUAUUUAUAACUUGCUGCUACGCACAAGGAGCAGGAGGAGAUGUUAUUUACUGCGUUACAGCAUCGUCCAUGAGAACUGAAAUGAUGCCUGACAAUGUCUCGCUGAUCCCCGUGACUGCUGGACGAGAGUGGAGUUACGCCGCGGCAUGUGGUGGCAUUUCUUACCCGAGAUGGCGCUUACAGGAGCAAACUGCAUUUACCAAAAUUACGGGGCGUUCCUACAGCGAAAUGUGGAAACGUGAGGCAGAUGCUAUGCUUUUGAAGUAUUAAACAUUGCUGAUUAGUUUAAAUAAUACAGUAACAUUUCCCCAAUAUCUGCGGAAAGAACAACACUUUUUAAAUAACURUACGGCUGGAUUAGGAGAGGACUAUAGCCAGUAAUGGCGUGGUGUGGUUUCGGGCCCUGCAUGGUUACACCGACAGCAGUUUUGCAUUGCUGAUGGCGAUUUGAGAGCUGCUGUGAUAAUCCUGUCUGCUGAGGAUGAGAUGAAGCAUUUCGGAUUUCAGCGCCCGGUAUACAUGGAAGGUUUCUGUAUUACAGACUUAGCAGUUUGCACAGUUUGGUGAAUUCGUUUAGAGAGAUUAGUGUAACACCAGGCUGAAUUUGCAAGUCAGUUUAAACCAUUCUAUUUUAGAUACAUUAACCUUUAAAAUAUAUGUAUAUAUAAAACAUCAGCACUGACUUUGUUUUAAUCAUUUCCAAUGUUCUUCCAGCUUUACUAAAAUGACCUUGARUAACCUUGAAUGUCUGAUUGAUACAGAUCUUAAUUAUUACUUUGACUUAAUACAGGGAAUAUGAAAAAAUCCCUUCUCUCUCUCUCCCGAUCCAGCUAGCUCCAUCACAAAGUUGGCAGAAGACCUCUGGGCAGAACCGCAACCAGCUGGAGCGACUUCUGGCUCCGUUUCUUUCCACGGCGGAGCAGAGAUGCUCCAUGGGGARAGGCUGCAAGCAGGUGUCUGACAAAGCGUUUGCAUGGUGUCAGAGACGAACCAAAAAGCAAACGCAAUCUCAGCAUCUGAUCAUGUGACAUAUUUUUUCGUACUAUAAUUUUCGGGGCAAAACUGURCUGCCAUAACUGCAGCCCGGUGGCAUUGCUUUCUCAACACCUCGCUUCUGGGAUAGUUGCUUGUGUUAGUGACAGAGGGAUGUAAAACUCUGAGUCAAAAGGGUAGGAAUUUACUCCUGAAUGACUUAUUUUUUGCUUGCAAGAUAGAGAAUCAGUCCGCACAUUUUUAAUAUAUUUUUUUCCCCAGGAAUGGGCCAAUUUUU